UGCAUAGUCACGCAACGUGGAUUAAAAUUACUCCGUAUGAAAAUUUGUACGGAGUACGAUGAAAAGAAAAGCAAAUGGGACCUUUUUUUGCUGGGCUCUUCAAAGUAUAAACCACAGGACAGCAACACACAGUAGGUUCGCUUAAAUACGAAGCCAAUUAUGACCACAGAAAAAACACGAGAAGAGCCCGUCUAAAAUAAAUGACGAGAAACUUCUAGUUCUUGUUUAAAUGGAGAUAACCCCAUUAAACCUUAAACCCUAGAUUGCAGAAUUAAGAUUUAAAAUUUGAGCGAUCUAUUUGAUGGAGAUGACUCCCAUAAUCAAUCAAUUACAGCUUUGUCAAUGGAUAGAGUUUUUACAAUGAAAUAGUGAAGCUAAAGAUGACCUCGUCGUCAAGGAGAAGGUGGUUAAGAUGACGGUGAUGAAAAUUUUCCGAUGAGAUUUCAUUAUCUAACCACCAUGGCUAAGUUUGAGUUCUGGAAUAUGUAUCUUUCACAUUCUUUUGAUUUUUUUAGUGAUAAUUGUGUAUUUUGUUAUGAACAGUUCUGUAUUUGUUUAUAUUUUGUACAAUUUAAGUUAAAAAUAUGAACGUAUGAUACGCUUUUUGUCAAUAUAUAUGUUUACUGACAUGUGUUUUUGGAAUUA